AGCUUGCUAGGUACGACGAGUGGCAGACGGGUGAGUAAUGUAUAGGAAUCUGCCCAGUAGUAAGGAAUAACUUAUGGAAACAUAAGCUAAUACUGUAUACUACCGAUUUAUCGGGAAAGACUUCGGUCGCUAUUGGAUGAGCCUAUAUCAGAUUAGCUUGUUGGUGGGGUAAAGGCCUACCAAGGCUGUGAUCUGUAGCUGGUUUGAGAGAAUGAUCAGCCACACUGGGACUGCGACACGGCCCAGACUCC
rnacentral:rRNA from 1 species